AUCCUCAAACAUUAAUUUGAGCUGAAGCUGAGCACCCUUGGAAGAUGCAUUUGCUGCUGCAAUAACAGAGUAACUGCAUAAAAUAAUUGUCUCCUGUCUCUCAAAGUCAAAAUCUGAGGAUGCUGUUGAAUGGACAGUCAAGAACCACCCCCCCCCUUCACUGCGGACACACUGUGCUUCCAGGGCAUGCACAUACAGGCUCUCAGCUGACACUGAACUGAACAGAGACAGACUUCCCGGAGGCUGGGUUGCCGCUUCCUACCGUCUGCUCUACCUGUAGGGCCCUCCAGUUAGAAAUGAGGGUGCUGACUUCCUGCUCAGUCUGGGAAUUUUACCUUUCGAGCUGGCCUCCGAAGGAGCGUCCUCUGCUUCCUCCGGCAACAACCCAGGGGCAAAAGAUGAAGAGGCCACAUCCCAGGCAUCGCAACGGACACCGCGCCUUAAAGCUGCGACUCCUUCCCGACGCCAGAGUCAACAGCACAGGAAAGGACUCCACGCUCACCCUGCCGUCCCCACUCCGAGGCCCCCUCCACCAAGACUGGCCUCGGGAAGGAACCCACUGCUUCCAGAUGAGAAGGAAAAGGACAGUCAGAGAGAUUCCUGCGCACUGGCUCAAGUUGGACAAAUUCCUUCCGAGCCUCCUGACUGAAGACUGUGAUGUCACAGCUGCCCCUCCCUCUGCUCCCUAAAAGGCCAUUCACACAAAGAAGGACUUUAACCUCCUUCAAAGAGGCCCGGCCCCUCCCUAGCGGCCCAGCCUGGAGGGCAGGGGCUGUCCACGGGCCACUCGGCCCCGCCAGGCGCUCAGAGGGCCCCGGGCUCGGGGCUCAGCAGUGUUCAUACCAGCCAGUUACCACUGCCUCCUUGGAAAGUCAUGGACGGGCCUUGGGCAAGCAGGGAAUUAAUAUCCUGACGAUGCUGAGGUAGCAGAAAAUCUGAAAGGCCCUGAAGAUCCAGUAAAAUGGACUCUCUCUCUCUAUAAAAUAGAUAUAUGUGCAUGUGUGUCUAUGAAAUAAUAAACACUCACUGUGGAAAACUUGGAAAAUAAAA
rnacentral:lncRNA from 1 species